AGAUUAUUAUUAAUGAUUACUUACAAUAAUUAUAAGUUUAUUAAAUUAAACAUAAUCUA
rnacentral:tRNA from 1 species